rnacentral:rRNA from 1 species
UGAGCAAUCUGCCCUUCUCAUCGGAAUAAGCGUUGGAAACGACGUCUAAUGCCGAAUACGACCUCCUUUCGCAUGAUCGGAGGUGGAAAGCUCCGGCGGAGAAGGAUGAGCUCGCGGCCUAUCAGCUAGUUGGUGUGGGUAAUGGCCCACCAAGGCGACGAUCCGUAGCUGGUCUGAGAGGAUGAUCAGCCACACUGGGACUGAGACACCGGCAGA